AACGCACCUUGCGCUCCUUGGUAUUCCGAGGAGCAUGCCUGUUUGAGUGUCAUUAAAUUCUCAAUCUCUACAACUUUGUGUUGUCUAGAUCGGAAGUGGGGGUCUAUUGUGUGGAAUCUAAUUCCUCACUCCCCUUAAAUGCAUUAGCUGGAAUGCCUCUGCAUAUCUGACUAUCAGUGUGAUAAUUAUCUAUACUGUAGUUGUUGCAUGAGGGUAUCUGCUUCAUAAAUCGUCGCAAGACAAUUCUAUAUGACCAUCUUGACCUCAAAUCAGGUAGGACUACCCGCUGAACUUAA
rnacentral:misc_RNA from 1 species